GGACGAACGCUGGCGGCGUGCUUACCACAUGCAAGUCGAACGGAAAGGCCCUGCUUUUGUGGGGUGCUCGAGUGGCGAACGGGUGAGUAACACGUGAGUAACCUGCCCUUGACUUUGGGAUAACUUCAGGAAACUGGGGCUAAUACCGGAUAGGAGCUCCUGCUGCAUGGUGGGGGUUGGAAAGUUUCGGCGGCUGGGGAUGGACUCGCGGCUUAUCAGCUUGUUGGUGGGGUAGUGGCUUACCAAGGCUUUGACGGGUAGCCGGCCUGAGAGGGUGACCGGCCACAUUGGGACUGAGAUACGGCCCAGACUCCUACGGGAGGCAGCAGUGGGGAAUAUUGCACAAUGGGCGGAAGCCUGAUGCAGCAACGCCGCGUGCGGGAUGACGGCCUUCGGGUUGUAAACCGCUUUCGCCUGUGACGAAGCGUGAGUGACGGUAAUGGGUAAAGAAGCACCGGCUAACUACGUG
rnacentral:rRNA from 1 species